CUCUCUCUCUGUAAGUCUCAAAAGCCUAAAACUAGAAGCCUAAAAUUGGAACUAAAAAUCUAAAAGCCUAAACUUUCCAAAAGCCUAAACUUUCCCUUCAUUCUUCACUUCAGUCCGGCCUUCUCUCUCUCACUCUCCAAGUCUCUUCACUCUUCUCUAGUCUUCGGCCUCACUAACUCUCUUCCAUCUUCACUUUCCUCUAAUUCUCUUCAGGCUUCACUCUCUCUCUCUCUCUCUCUAUCUCUCUCUAUCAGUCGGUCCAGCCCCAAAUGGCUAGUCGGCUACCCUUCAAAUCAAACUCAGAUUUGAUCUUUCCCAUACCUCUGUUCAUGAAUCAUAGUUUAGGGUUUCAAGACUCAACUUGGCUACACUUCUCAAAAUCAAAAUCAAAAUCAGAUUUUCCCUCAUAUCUCUCUCUUAUAAAUUGGACUUUUACCGAGUGUUCUACGUUCUCUCUGCUCUCUAGUCUCUCUAGUCUCUAGUGAUUUCAAAAUCUCUUAUUUUUAUUUUGAAACAAACAAAUCCCUUUACUCCUUAACACUCAGCCUCUCAGACUCGGCUUCCUAGUCUCAGAUCAGGAGUUGAAAUCCUAGGCUUUUUGCUUCCUUUUCAAGGUUAAAUCCCUGAUAGCUAAGAGUUCUUUGAGGUAUCCUUUCUUUCUCUUUUAACUUCUUGUUAUUGUUUGUGUGUUACUUUUAUGGUUGUUCAAGCUCAAGCAAAGGUAUCUCAAUUAACAUUGAUGACUAAUCAAAAACUGGGAGGAAGGACACACAUUUUGUAUAGGAGGCAGAUUUUUGGAUGCAAUUUGGAAGUUUUUUUGGACAGUGCUUUUCUAAUUGAUAAUUGAUAAAUUAACUCUUGCUUAUAGGAUAGAAAACUUAUUAAGUUUAAUAGGCUUUCUUUUCUAUAAGUCAUGGACUAAACUCUAUAUAGUAGUUGCUCUUUAAAUGUUUUAGAAAAGCUAUUUUUUGGAAGUUUGUAACUAAUUAUAACUAGCUAUUGCUUUACACACUUUCUGCCUUCUUUAACUCUAUGGAAAUAUUGCAAGAGAUGCUCUUAUUAUCUUUUGUUACCACACUUGUGAUGUGGUUGUGAUUGAA